UGCAUGGCAUCUGCGCCCAGACAGUGCUAUAGAAAUUCAGUAUCUGACAUCGUGGUGUUUUUUGGCUUUGCGCAUGUGAAACCUGGUAUUUUUAUGGAUGCCGUU
ensembl:snoRNA